AUUGAACGCUGGCGGCAUGCCUUACACAUGCAAGUCGAACGGUAACAGGUCUUCGGAUGCUGACGAGUGGCGAACGGGUGAGUAAUACAUCGGAACGUGCCCGAUCGUGGGGGAUAACGAGGCGAAAGCUUUGCUAAUACCGCAUACGAUCUACGGAUGAAAGCGGGGGAUCUUCUGAUCUCGCGCGGACGGAGCGGCCGAUGGCAGAUUAGGUAGUUGGUGGGAUAAAAGCUUACCAAGCCGACGAUCUGUAGCUGGUCUGAGAGGAUGAUCAGCCACACUGGAACUGAGACACGGCCCAGACUCCUACGGGAGGCAGCAGUGGGGAAUUUUGGACAAUGGGCGAAAGCCUGAUCCAGCCAUGCCGCGUGCAGGAUGAAGGUCUUUGGGUUGUAAACUGCUUUUGUAAGGAACGAAAAGCCUCUUUCUAAUAAAGAGGGGUCAUGACGGUACCGUAAGAAUAAGCACCGGCUAACUACGUG
rnacentral:rRNA from 1 species